GAUGAACACUAGCGGCAGGCUUAAUACAUGCAAGUCGUGGGGCAGCAUGAGUAGCAAUACUUGAUGGCGACCGGCAAACGGGUGCGGAACACGUACACAACCUUCCGAUAAGUGGGGAAUAGCCCAGAGAAAUUUGGAUUAAUACCCCGUAACACAUAGAGUAGGCAUCUUCUUUAUAUUAUAGCUUCGGCGCUUAUUGAUGGGUGUGCGUCUGAUUAGGUAGUUGGCGGGGUAACGGCCCACCAAGCCUACGAUCAGUAGCUGAUGUGAGAGCAUGAUCAGCCACACGGGCACUGAGACACGGGCCCGACUCCUACGGGAGGCAGCAGUAAGGAAUAUUGGACAAUGGGCGAAAGCCUGAUCCAGCCAUGCCGCGUGAAGGAUUAAGGUCCUCUGGAUUGUAAACUUCUUUUAUUUGGGACGAAAAAAGGGAAUUCUUUCCCACUUGACGGUACCAAGUGAAUAAGCACCGGCUAACUCCGUGCCAGCCGCCGCGGUAA
rnacentral:rRNA from 1 species